AGCCACGGCGAUGCUCCUGAGGGGUCUUUACUUCCCCUGCAUCUCUCCAGCUCCCUGGGCGGAUGUCAGCACCACCAGGUGAACAUACGUGUUGGCUGGCAUGAUCAUGUGAGAACUGUCCAGCUGAACCCGGGGAAGCACAUCUCAGUGUCCCAUAUGGAGAGAAGAGGAGAAAAGCCUGUCCUUGGCUUAAGAGAGGCCAAAAAUGCAGUUAACCACACCCAACACCCAUUUCUGAUGAACCUCCGUCUCUUGUUAUGAGAAGUGCACACUCGUGCUGGUGGAAACCCAGGAGCAUUCCCACGUGUUCCUCUUUUCCCAGCUCCCGCCCUGAAUGCUGACUUGCCCUCACCCGGGCUCGCCACUGCUCUUCUUGCUGUGUCUCUGCUGCUCCAGCCACACAGGUCAGCACCUUCUCUGGGCGGCAGCCCCUCCGUGGUGCCCACUUG
rnacentral:lncRNA from 1 species